rnacentral:lncRNA from 1 species
CCUGGUCCUCCUUGCACACUGUGCACCUUGACUUAGGAAAAUAGCCUAAGUUUAGGGUGGCUAUCAUAGGGGUGCGUAAUGUAAAAGGAGUAUGGAGAAAGGUAGAAUAAAAUAAAAUUAUAAAAAGCUAGGUGCGGUGGAAUAGAAUAAUAAAUGAAAAGUUGUGAAAAAAAAGAAGUGAUUAUAGAAAAGACGGCACCCAUCCUGAAUAUGUG